UUAAAAUGUUUAAUUAAAAUUUAUUAAAUUUUGAAAACAAAAAAUUCUCAAUUUUCAUUUUUUUUUAAAUAGUUCUCAUUUCUUUUUUUCUUCUUUGUGCAACCACUGCUCUUUUCAUCUUCCUCCAUGUGAGCCUCUCUUCAUCCAUGACCUCUUCUCUUGAUGUGAGUCUCUCUUUCUCUUCUCCCUCUCCAUUUCUCUCAUUCUAAAUCGAUUUUUCUAUCAACUUGAUUUCAAUCUUUCUUCUUGUAAUGAAUUUUGAAGUUUUCUAUCUCCAUGUGAGCCUCUCUUCAUCCAUGGCCUCUUCUCUUGAUGUCUUCCAAGAGCUUAAUUUAGCAAAAACAACACUACAGAGCACAACUCAUCAAUAUUUACGUAUAAAAUUCCCAUUACUCUUCAAAUCCUAAAUCACACUAGCUUUCUCUGGUUUCAUCUCACUUAAUUUCACUUCUAAAACAGGUCACGUGAUAGGCCUAGACCUCGGUAGCAACUUUCUUCAAGGGCCAUUGCUUUCUAACAACAUCCUCUUCAGCUUGGUACAACUUCAAGAACUUGAUCUUGCCUCAAAUAACUUUAAUUUCUAUGAGAUUUAAUCAGGUUUCAACCAUUUCAUUAAAGUGUGCACAUUCUCUCUUCUGAUUAAGGCAUGAGAUCUUUAAUAUAAGAGCAUAUUUUUUUCAAUGAAAGAAAAAUGUUGAGUAUUAUUCUAUAUUCCAUAUAACAUAUGCUAAUUCAUACUUUGUGUUUUCAUUUAAAAUCUUUGACAAAUAUACUCUAUGCCCCAUGAUUGUUACUGUGUUCAUCUUCUUUGAUUUUAGCAUAAGCACACACCAUGCGAUCAAAGAUAGACAUGCGUCGAAGUACUGCAUCAAGAAAUGAUAAACGAGCAAUGUUGGGUAUAUGUUUUGAGUUCUCCAUUUUCACUCAAUUGUUAUAUCUCUAUGUAAAUAAUUUUUGUAAAAUAUUAAAAUAGCUCUUAUAUCUUAGUCUUGAUAUUUUAUAAGCCAUAUAUUUUAAGUUUCGAAAUUGAUUCUCCCUCUCGAUAUCCUUCUUUUUGAAAGGGUUUAUAGGUGCAAACUUGUUUCAAGGAUGCAUUAUUACUACUAUUGUCAUUAUGUUUGCACAAUUUAUGUAUUACACCUUUUUUUUAUUAAAAUUAUAUGAUACAACAUAAUGGAUUCUUCAUACUGUAUUGGUACAAGAGACAGAAGAGAACACAUGUGACUUGUCACUGGCUGUGUGGUUCUUUUUAUCCUUUUUUAUGGCAUAAAAAUGGAAUGCCUACUGCUUGGGUAAUUUUUGUUUUUUUGUUCACAUUGGGUGUUUGACUAUCCUUAUAUAAUACAUGUGUGCAAAACAUUUUAACCACAUGAUCAGUAAUAAUUCUUAGACCAUCUUAUUGCAGAGUUUCCUGGUGGUGGAGAAUAUCACCUGAAGUCAUUGAAGCUAACAAAUGAAAUGCAUCAUGAUCUUGGUUGGUGAAUUUGCAUACACUGUAAGAUCCAAUAUAAGUGCAAUUCAUACUUGGUAUAUCUAUGUUGAUGGUUCCACCAUUCUAUACAAGUCUCAUCCCAAGAAAUGAACAUAAAAAAUGGAUUGGUGUGGAGAACAUCAAAAAGAGACUUGUGAACUCGAAAGGACCCCCAACAUAUGAGCAGCCAAAGAUAACUCGCGAAAAGCUUAUUGAGUAUGGAAACAUGCUUGUUGAAGAGCAAGAAAAUGUAAAGAGAGUUCAAUUGUCAAACAAGUACUUGAAAGAAGCAACUCUUGGAGAUGCAAAUGAGGAUGCCAUCAGGUCUGGAAACUUCUAUGAUUAGAGCUUAGAAUCUUAGAUUUUCCUUAAGUACUCCUUGACCCAAAAUAAAGUCGAUUAUAGGAUCUCA